UACGAAGGGGGCUAGCGUUGCUCGGAAUCACUGGGCGUAAAGGGCGCGUAGGCGGCCAUUCAAGUCAGGGGUGAAAGCCUGUGGCUCAACCACAGAAUUGCCUUUGAUACUGUUUGGCUAGAGACCGGAAGAGGUAAGUGGAACUGCGAGUGUAGAGGUGAAAUUCGUAGAUAUUCGCAAGAACACCAGUGGCGAAGGCGGCUUACUGGUCCGGUUCUGACGCUGAGGCGCGAAAGCGUGGGGAGCAACAGG
rnacentral:rRNA from 1 species